rnacentral:rRNA from 1 species
CCUACGGGGGGCUGCAGUAGGGAAUAUUGCUCAAUGGGGGAAACCCUGAAGCAGCAACGCCGCGUGGAGGAUGAAGGUUUUCGGAUUGUAAACUCCUUUUGUUAGAGAAGAUUAUGACGGUAUCUAACGAAUAAGCACCGGCUAACUCCGUGCCAGCCGCCGCGGUAAUACGGAGGGUGCAAGCGUUACUCGGAAUCACUGGGCGUAAAGAGUGCGUAGGCGGGGUAAUAAGUCAGAUGUGAAAUCCUGUGGCUUAACUACAGAACUGCAUUUGAAACUGUUACUCUGGAGUGUGGGAGAGGUAGGUGGAAUUCUUGGUGUAGGGGUAAAAUCCGUAGAGAUCAAGAGGAAUACUCAUUGCGAAGGCGACCUGCUGGAACAUUACUGACGCUGAUGCACGAAAGCGUGGGGAGCAAACAGGAUUAGAUACCCGGGUAGUC